UCCUUUGCGGAUUUUCACCUUGGCCUCACCUUUUUCUUUUCUUUUCUCUUUUUUUUACUUUUUUUUGAAAUAUUUUUUGAUUGAAUCUGAACUCAUAGGAUUAGGCAUGUCCUUGUUAUCCCUUCUGAUCAAAAUCGACGCUUUUCAAGGCCCUUCCCAUUUUGGGAUAAAGUUCUUUUUGUAUGGGAAGGAUCUUCUUCAAUACCA
rnacentral:lncRNA from 1 species